GAAAGGUGUAAGCAAUUAUGGCAAUCACAUGUACCUACGGUGGAAGGAUGGCCAGCCACAUAGGAGGGUGAUUUUCACUGAGGAGAAGGAUGCCGUGCUGACCGAGAUGCACGCUGGCCAUUUCAGAGUGAAGCACAUGAUUGCCAAAAUCAACCUACGCUUCUUCUGCCGUGGGAUUGUCAAGGAUGUGGGCAGCUGGGAAAGUGGAAUAACCUUUUGUUAAUCAAUCACAUUCUAUUAUAUCUGAAAUGAUUAUGAUUUCAAUGAAUGUCAUUUCAGAGAGCACACAAUGUUUCAAUUUGUAACUUUGUACUUAAAGGUCAGUACCUGUCUAGCCUGCCAGAAGUUUG
ensembl:lncRNA